AACCCAUGGUAAGGAAACCUUCUCAAUAAGUCCUUGUAUCUCUCCCAUGCAUCGUAAAGUGUUUCUAAAUCCAUCUGUACAAAAUAAGAAAUAUCAUUCCUCAACUU
rfam:Gossypium arboreum cultivar AKA8401 contig_5972_3, whole genome shotgun sequence.